rnacentral:rRNA from 1 species
AGCGAACGCUGGCGGCAGGCCUAACACAUGCAAGUCGAACGAACCGUUCGGGGGUUGGCGCGGACGGGGGAGGAACAGGACGGAAGGGUCCCUUAUGGACGGCAUAACUCAGGGAAACGGGUGCUAAUAGCGAACGGGCCCUUCUGGGGGAAGAUUUAUAGCCUUUAGAGCGGCCCGCGUCUGAUUAGCUAGUUGUUUGAGUUAAUGGGGCACCAAGGCGACGAUCAGUAGCUGGUCUGAGAGGAUGAUCAGCCACAUUGGGACUGGGACACGGCCGAGAAUCCUCCGCGAGGCAGGAGUGGGGGAUCUUGCGACAUGGGCGAAAGCAUGAAGGAGCCCUGACGGGUGAAUGCUGAAAGUAUUAGGAUUGUAAUGUUCUUUCACCGGGGCCGAUCAUGACGGUACCCGGAGAAGAAGCCCCGGCUAACUUCGUG